AACUGAGUCGAGUAGGAUGUGUACCUCUGCUUCACCGAAGAGUUAUCAUCGAAAUUGUGGCUACGAUUGUGAAAGAGAAUUAGUUAAUUAAUGCCUUCAUGUGCAAAUCUUCAAGAUAUCUAUGCCUGCGUCACUAUAUGCGUAACGAGGAAUCAGCAAGUAUCUACACAAUCAAGCAAUGUGGAAUGUAUUAGUGUAGUCCACAAAGGCCAGUUACCUUAUGCAAGAAACGGAGGCCUUUUCAAGUAACUCCCUAGACAGUCUGAGCCUCUAGUGCAGAACACAUUUGUUAGCUCAAGAGGAUAGCCGUACUGAUGGAAAUGUUUGCUUAGAACCAUUGCGAUGCCUUUCGGUUUGAUAAAAUGAGGAAUUGCAAAUGAAAGAAAUCCUUCGCAGACUUAAUGGAUGUAUGGAUUAAACGCCUGACUAGGCGUUUCACACUACAUACAGGAAAGAAGAUCAGAAACAGGAGAAAGAAGUUCCAGAAAUAAGAAGAGGAUCAACUGAAAACUAACCUACUCUGAAAAAAAGCAAGCAAACAACUCGAGUAACAAAAAAAAAAAAAAAAAAAAAAAAGAAGAAGAAAACUGUUGAAGCCUUCUUGGUCAAAAGCAGUGGAACGUUGUUGAUUAUUUGUAUUUAUUUGUUUUCUUUUUAUCUCUCAGCGUGUGAGAUGCUGUAGAAUUUGUCUUCGAUUUCCUCCCAAGAGCAGGGUCGGCUAAUGGAGACAGACUAUUGAUCUCUAAGCCUGGAAGAAAGAGCAAAUGUCGAAAGCAUCGAGCAAAUCUGUCACGAUCACAUGUACGACAAAAUUCUAGUUUCAGACAGCUUGGACUACCCCCUUUGGCACUAGGGUGCAAUAACAAAAUUCCAUUGGUCUUAUCAAAGAAGAUCGUAAAUUGUUACAUACUCUCUGAAAGGGAAACAAUUUAUGUGGGCAAAACAUUUCCCUUGUGUUAAUUUUUUGUUUCCUUAUAAUAUAUAUAUAAAUAAAUCAAAACAUCACAUUUAA